rnacentral:rRNA from 1 species
GUGGGGAAUCUUAGACAAUGGGCGCAAGCCUGAUCUAGCCAUGCCGCGUGAGCGAUGAAGGCCUUAGGGUUGUAAAGCUCUUUCAGUGGGGAAGAUAAUGACUGUACCCACAGAAGAAGCCCCGGCUAACUCCGUGCCAGCAGCCGCGGUAAUACGGAGGGGGCUAGCGUUGUUCGGAAUUACUGGGCGUAAAGCGCACGUAGGCGGAUGGACAAGUCAGAGGUGAAAUCCCAGGGCUCAACCUUGGAACUGCCUUUGAAACUUUCCAUCUUGAGGUCGAGAGAGGUGAGUGGAAUUCCGAGUGUAGAGGUGAAAUUCGUAGAUAUUCGGAGGAACACCAGUGGCGAAGGCGGCUCACUGGCUCGAUACUGACGCUGAGGUGCGAAAGCGUGGGGAGCAAACAGGAUUAGAAACCCGAGUAGUCC